AGUGAACGCUGGCGGCGUGCCUAACACAUGCAAGUCGAACGAUGAAGUCCUUCGGGAUGGAUUAGUGGCGCACGGGUGAGUAUACCAUAGAUAAUGUACCUCUUAGUUCGGGAUAGCCACUGGAAACGGUGAUUAAUACCGGAUACUCCUUCUCAUUAUAAGAUGAGUCGGGAAAGUUUUUUCGCUAAGAGAUCAGUCUAUGUCCUAUCAGCUAGUUGGUGAGGUAAUGGCUCACCAAGGCUAUGACGGGUAUCUGGUUUGAGAGGAUGAUCAGACACACUGGAACUGAGACACGGUCCAGACUCCUACGGGAGGCAGCAGUGAGGAAUAUUGCACAAUGGAGGAAACUCUGAUGCAGCAACGCCGCGUGGAGGAUGACGCAUUUCGGUGUGUAAACUCCUUUUAAGAGGGAAGAUAAUGACAGUACCUCUUGAAUAAGCACCGGCUAACUCCGUGCCAGCAGCCGCGGUAAAAC
rnacentral:rRNA from 1 species